GUCUUGUAAUUGGAAUGAUGGAAAUUUAAACCCUUUUUAAAGUAUCAAUUGGAGGGCAAGUCUGGUGCCAGCAGCCGCGGUAAUUCCAGCUCCAAUAGCGUAUAUUAAAAUUGUUGCAGUUAAAAAGCUCGUAGUUGAAGUUCUGCUGAAAGUAACCGGUCUGCUUUUAAUAAAAGUGGUAUCUUGGUAUGUAUUUAGCAAUGAUGUCCUUUGAAGUGUUUUUUACUUUAUUGUAAUAAAGCAUAUUCAGGACUUUUACUUUGAGAAAAUUAGAGUGUUUCUAGCAGGCUGACGCUUUGAAUACUGCAGCAUGGAAUAAUAAGAUAGGAUUUUAGUUCUACAUUAUUGGUUUUAAGAGCUAAAUUAAUGAUUGAUAGGGACAGUUGGGGGCAUUUGUAUUUAACUGUCAGAGGUGAAAUUCUUAGAUUUGUUAAAGACAAACUACUGCGAAAGCAUUUGCCAAAGAUGUUUUCAUUAAUCAAGAACGAAAGUUAGGGGAUCGAAGACGAUCAGAUACCGUCGUAGUCCUA
rnacentral:rRNA from 1 species